AAUAACAUAGUUUAAAUUGGAUAGAAUUAGUAUUCUGCAAAUACUAGGUGGAUUUGUCCUGUUGUUA
rnacentral:tRNA from 1 species